GGUAACAUUUCAAAAGCUUGCUUUUGAAGAUGACGAGCGGCGGACGGGUGAGUAAUGGCUGGGAAUUUGCCCAUUUGUGGGGGAUAACAGUUGGAAACGACUGCUAAUACCGCAUACGCCCUACGGGGGAAAGCAGGGGACCUUCGGGCCUUGCGCUGAUGGAUAAGCCCAGGUGGGAUUAGCUAGUAGGUGAGGUAAAGGCUCACCUAGGCGACGAUCCCUAGCUGGUCUGAGAGGAUGAUCAGCCACACUGGGACUGAGACACGGCCCAGACUCCUACGGGAGGCAGCAGUGGGGAAUAUUGCACAAUGGGGGAAACCCUGAUGCAGCCAUGCCGCGUGUGUGAAGAAGGCCUUCGGGUUGUAAAGCACUUUCAGCGAGGAGGAAAGGGUGUAAGUUAAUACCUUACAUCUGUGACGUUACUCGCAAAAGAAGCACCGGCUAACUCCGUGCCAGCAGCCGCGAUAAUACGGAGGGUGCCAGCGUUAAUCGAAAUUACUGGGCGUAAAGCGUGCGCAGGCGGUUUGUUAAGCGAGAUGUGAAAGCUCCGGGCUCAACCUGGGAACCGCAUUUCGAACUGGCAAACUAGAGUCUUGUAGAGGGGGGUAGAAUUCCACGUGUAGCGGUGAAGUGCGUAUAG
rnacentral:rRNA from 1 species